rnacentral:rRNA from 1 species
GAUGAACGCUGGCGGCGUGCCUAAUACAUGCAAGUCGAGCGAAUGGAUUAAGAGCUUGCUCUUAUGAAGUUAGCGGCGGACGGGUGAGUAACACGUGGGUAACCUGCCCAUAAGACUGGGAUAACUCCGGGAAACCGGGGCUAAUACCGGAUAACAUUUUGAACCGCAUGGUUCGAAAUUGAAAGGCGGCUUCGGCUGUCACUUAUGGAUAGACCCGCGUCGCAUUAGCUAGUUGGUGAGGUAACGGCUCACCAAGGCAACGAUGCGUAGCCGACCUGGAAGGGUGAUCGGCCACACUGGGACUGAGACACGGCCCAGACUCCUACGGGAGGCAGCAGUAGGGAAUCUUCCGCAAUGGACGAAAGUCUGACGGAGCAACGCCGCGUGAGUGAUGAAGGCUUUCGGGUCGUAAAACUCUGUUGUUAGGGAAGAACAAGUGCUAGUUGAAUAAGCUGGCACCUUGACGGUACCUAACCAGAAAGCCACGACUAACUACGUGCCAGCCGCCGCAGUAA